AAUGAACGCUGGCGGCAGGCCUAACACAUGCAAGUCGAACGAGUGGCGGACGGGUGAGUAAUGUCUGGGAAACUGCCUGAUGGAGGGGGAUAACUACUGGAAAAGGUAGAUAAUACCGCAUACCAUCGGAUGUGCCCAGAUGGGAUUAGCUAGUAGGUGGGGUAAAGGAUCACCUAGGCGACGAUCACUAGCUGGUCUGAGAGGAUGACCAACAACACUGGAACUCAGACACGGUCCAGACUCCUACGGGAGGCAGCAGUGGGGAAUAUUGCACAAUGGGCGCAAGCCUGAUGCAGCCAUGCCGCGUGUAUGAAGAAGGCCUUCGGGUUGUAAAGUACUGUCAGCGGGGAGGCGUUACCCACAGAAGAAGCACCGGCUAACUCAGUGCCAGCAGCCGCGGUAAUUG
rnacentral:rRNA from 1 species